AGGGUAGAUAAUGCUCACCUCAGCUUCUGUGUGUGCCAAAUCUGAAGUCCAGGAGCAUCGUUUUAUUGGUCAGCAUUAAUUACUUAAGUGGCCAAACAUUUCAGUAGAAGCAUCUGCCCUUUUAAGGAUAACGCAAAAAAUUCACCAGCACAAUGCAUCCUCUCCAAAGGAUUUGGACACUGGCAACCUGACAUCAGAGCCUUGGGGCCCCGACUCUGAGAGAUCUUCCUGAAGUAUCAAAAAAGAUUUACUGGAGAGGCCAGAACAAACCCUUGGUCCAAACAUUUCCAGCUGGGGGAAGUGGAAGAAACCAGAAGCCAGUCACGCAGUGGAGCCAUGGGGCAAUUCCAGUGGCUGAGGUUUUAAAGGAGUCCAAAAAUGGCACUGGGGAAACAACAAGGCAUCAGCAGAAGAACUGGAAGGAUGAUGGGCAUAUAACAAGAAAAGCAAGUACUUUACCCU
rnacentral:lncRNA from 1 species